GAUGAACGCUGGCGGCGUGCCUAAUACAUGCAAGUCGAGCGAACGGACGAGAAGCUUGCUUCUCUGAUGUUAGCGGCGGACGGGUGAGUAACACGUGGAUAACCUACCUAUAAGACUGGGAUAACUUCGGGAAACCGGAGCUAAUACCGGAUGAUAUUUUGAACCGCAUGGUUCAAAAGUGAAAGACGGUCUUGCUGUCACUUAUAGAUGGAUCCGCGCUGCAUUAGCUAGUUGGUAAGGUAACGGCUUACCAAGGCAACGAUGCAUAGCCGACCUGAGAGGGUUAUCGGCCACACUGGAACUGAGACACGGUACAGACUCCUACGGGAGGCAGCAGUAGGGAAUCUUCCGCAAUGGGCGAAAGCCUGACGGAGCAACGCCGCGUGAGUGAUGAAGGUCUUCGGAUCGUAAAACUCUGUUAUUAGGGAAGAACAUAUGUGUAAGUAACUGUGCACAUCUUGACGGUACCUAAUCAGAAAGCCACGGCUAACUACGUG
rnacentral:rRNA from 1 species